AUUGAACGCUGGCGGCAGGCCUAACACAUGCAAGUCGAACGGUAACAGGAAGAAGCUUGCUUCUUUGCUGACGAGUGGCGGACGGGUGAGUAAUGUCUGGGAAACUGCCUGAUGGAGGGGGAUAACUACUGGAAACGGUAGCUAAUACCGCAUAACGUCGCAAGACCAAAGAUGGGGACCUUCGGGCCUCUUGCCAUCGGAUGUGCCCAGAUGGGAUUAGCUAGUAGGUGGGGUAACGGCUCACCUAGGCGACGAUCCCUAGCUGGUCUGAGAGGAUGACCAGCCACACUGGAACUGAGACACGGUCCAGACUCCUACGGGAGGCAGCAGUGGGGAAUAUUGCACAAUGGGCGCAAGCCUGAUGCAGCCAUGCCGCGUGUAUGAAGAAGGCCUUCGGGUUGUAAAGUACUUUCAGCGGGGAGGAAGGGAGUAAAGUUAAUACCUUUGCUCAUUGACGUUACCCGCAGAAGAAGCGCCGGCUAACUCCGUG
rnacentral:rRNA from 1 species